AAGAAAGUAAGCAAGGGCGCAUGGCGGAUGCCUUGGCUCUCGGAGGCGAUGAAGGACGUGAUAAGCUGCGAUAAGCUUCGGGCAGGUGCAAAUAACCUUUGAUCCGAAGAUUUCCGAAUGGGACAACCCGUCAUUCUGAAGGAAUGACAUCUUGCAUAGCAAGAGGCUAACGCAGGGAACUGAAACAUCUUAGUACCUGUAGGAAAAGAAAAUAAUAAUGAUUCCCCUAGUAGUGGCGAGCGAACGGGGAUUAGCCCAAACCAAUGUUGUUACGGCAAUAUUGGGGUUGUAGGACCACGAUGUCGCAAGAAAUUUAGUGAGAAGAACCCUUUGGAAAAUGGGACCAUAGACGGUGAUAGUCCGGUAUUCGAAGCUAAAUGAAGCGUAGUGGUAUCCUGAGUAGCGCGGGACACGAGGAAUCUUGCGUGAAUCUGCCGGGACCAUCCGGUAAGGCUAAAUACUCCCGAGAGACCGAUAGCGAACCAGUACUGUGAAGGAAAGGUGAAAAGCACUUCGAAUAGAAGAGUGAAAUAGUCCCUGAAACCGUGCGCCUACAAGCGGUCGGAGCUGCUUCAGCAGUGACGGCGUGCCUUUUGCAUAAUGAACCUACGAGUUACUUUUUCCGGCAAGGUUAAGGAUCUUGAGAUCCGCAGCCGAAGCGAAAGCGAGUCUUAACAGGGCGAUUAGUCGGAAGGAGUAGACGCGAAACCAAGUGAUCUACCCUUGGUCAGGUUGAAGGUUAGGUAACACUAACUGGAGGACCGAACCGAUAAGCGUUGAAAAGCUUCCGGAUGAACUGAGGGUGGGGGUGAAAGGCUAAUCAAACUUGGAGAUAGCUCGUACUCCCCGAAAUGCAUUUAGGUGCAGCCUUGGGAAUUACUACUGUGAGGUAGAGCGACUGAUAAGAUGCGAGGGCUUCACCGCCUAUCAAGUCUUGAUAAACUCCGAAUGCGCAGUAGUUCGAUCCCAGGAGUGAGGGCAUGGGUGCUAAGGUCCAUGUCCUAAAGGAGAAGAAUCCGGACCAUCAGCUAAGGUCCCGAAAUAAUUGCUAAGUUGAACUAACGAAGUCAGAUUGCUAAGACAGCUAGGAUGUUGGCUUGGAAGCAGCCAUUCAUUUAAAGAGUGCGUAACAGCUCACUAGUCGAGGAGUUUGGCGUGGAUAAUAAUCGGGCAUUAAGCAAUUUACCGAAGCUAUGGGAUCCGUAAGGAUCGGUAGGGGAGCAUUCCACUCUGCGUCGAAGGUGAAGCGUGAGCUUUGCUGGAGCGUGUGGAAAAGCAAAUGUAGGUAUAAGUAACGAUAAAGGGGGUGAGAAACCCCCUCGCCGAAAGACUAAGGUUUCCUGAUCAACGCUAAUCGGAUCAGGGUUAGUCGGGUCCUAAGGCUCAGCCGAACGGUGAGGCCGAUGGCAGAACAGGUUAAUAUUCCUGUACUACCUUAAGGAGUGACGUGGAGACGGAGGAGUGACAGCGCCGCGGACUGACGGAAUAGUCCGUUGAAGGGUGUAGAUGUUGAUUAUCCCAGGCAAAUCCGGGAUAAGAGUCGAACCUGAUAGUAUACCAAAUUCUUCGGAAUAAGGUAAUAGUGCGUGUAAGCAUACUCCCAAGAAAAUCCGCUAAACUUAAUCUUUAAGGUACCCGUACCGCAAACGGACACACGUAGUCGGGUUGAAUAUACUAAGGCGCUUGAGUGAUUCACGGUUAAGGAACUAGGCAAAUUGACCCUGUAACUUCGGGAUAAAGGGUCCCAACGAGAGUUGGGCGCAGAGAAUAGGUCCAGGCAACUGUUUAACAAAAACACAGGGCUGUGCCAAAUUGAAAGAUUACGUAUACAGCCUGACACCUGCCCGGUGCUGGAAGGUUAAGAGGAGAUGUCAUCGCAAGAGAAGCAUUGAAUUGAAGCCCCAGUAAACGGCGGCCGUAACUAUAACGGUCCUAAGGUAGCGAAAUUCCUUGUCGGGUAAGUUCCGACCUGCACGAAUGGUGUAAUGAUCUGGACACUGUCUCAACCGUGAGCUCAGUGAAAUUGUAGUAUCGGUGAAGAUGCCGAUUACCCGCGAUGGGACGAAAAGACCCCGUGAACCUUUACUAUAGCUUAACAUUGAAUUUGGGUAAUUGAUGUGUAGGAUAGGCCGGAGACUUUGAAGCAGGUACGCCAGUAUUUGUGGAGUCGCUGUUGAAAUACGGCCCUUUGAUUAUUUGAGUUCUAACUCGUUGUUACGAGGACACUGUUUGGUGGGUAGUUUGACUGGGGUGGUCGCCUCCAAAAGUGUAACGGAGGCUUCUAAAAGGUGCCCUCAGGACGAUUGGUAACCGUCCGUAGAGUGUAAUGGCAUAAGGGCGCUUGACUGGGAGACAGACAAGUCGAUCAGGUAGGAAACUAGAGCAUAGUGAUCCGGUGUUUCCGUAUGGAAGGGACAUCGCUCAAAGGAUAAAAGGUACUCCGGGGAUAACAGGCUGAUCCCUCCCAAGAGCUCAUAUCGACGGAGGGGUUUGGCACCUCGAUGUCGGCUCGUCACAUCCUGGGGCUGGAGAAGGUCCCAAGGGUUGGGCUGUUCGCCCAUUAAAGUGGCACGCGAGCUGGGUUCAGAACGUCGUGAGACAGUUCGGUCUCUAUCUAUCGUGGGCGUAUGAAAUUUGCGUGGCUCUGACACUAGUACGAGAGGACCGUGUUGGACUGACCGCUGGUUUACCAGUUGUGCCGCCAGGUGCAUUGCUGGGUAUCUAAGUCGGGAUUGGAUAAGUGCUGAAAGCAUCUAAGUACGAAGCCAGCCACAAGAUUAGAUUUCUUAGGGUCGUCAAAGACGAUGACGUUGAUAGGAUGCAGGUGUAAAGGUGGUAACAUCAAAGCCGAGCAUUACUAAUUGCCCGUUCACUUUCUUUC
rnacentral:rRNA from 1 species